rnacentral:rRNA from 1 species
UACGGGGGGGGCAAGCGUUGUUCGGAAUUACUGGGCGUAAAGGGCUCGUAGGCGGCCAACUAAGUCAUACGUGAAAUCCCCCGGCUUAACCGGGGAACUGCGUCUGAUACUGGAUGGCUUGAGUUCGGGAGAGGGAUGCGGAAUUCCAGGUGUAGCGGUGAAAUGCGUAGAGAUGCGGCGGAACACCGAUGGCGAAGGCAGCCCCCUGGGCUGAGAUUGACGCUCAGGCACGAAAGCGUGGGGAGCAAACAGG